AUGUGGUUGUACCUGCUCCGGAGCAAGGACGAGGCAGCCGAGGCGAUCCAGCGCUUCCAGGCACACGCAGAGCGCGAGACGGGGUGGAAGAUGCGCACUUUCCACUCUGACCGAGGCGGGGAGUUCAACUCCGGCGAGUUCAGCGCACAUCUCGCUGAUCUUGGGGUCCAGAGGCACCUCACCACGCCAUACUCUCCCCAACAGAAUGGCGUGGUGGAGAGGCGCAACCAAACCGUUGUCGGGACGGCUCGGUGCAUGCUCAAGGCGAUGGGAGUGCCACCGCAAUUUUGGGGCGAGGCCGUGUCCACGGCCGCGUUCGUGCUCAAUAGGGCAUACUCCAGAAGCGUACCAGGCAAGACGCCGUUCGAGGCCUGGCAUGGCAGGAAGCCCUCCGUCGACUUCUUGCGCGUGUUCGGAAGUGUGGCGCACGUCAAGAACACGCGCCCACACCUCUCCAAGCUUGAGGACCAGAGCAAAGCCAUGGUGAUGAUCGGCUACGAGCCAGGGAGCAAGGCGUACCGGCUCUAUGACCCGGUGGGCAAGCGAGUCCAUGUCUCUCGUGAUGUCGUCUUUGACGAGACGCGAGCAUGGGACUGGGAGAAGAGUGGCACGGACUAG
rnacentral:rRNA from 1 species